GUGUGGUUUACCCCGUUGGUCUCCUCUUCCAGGCGUGGGGGUGUGUGUGUGUUUUACCCCGUUGGUCUCCUCUUCCAGGCGUGGGGGUGUGUGUGUGUUUUACCCCGUUGGUCUCCUCUUCCAGGCGUGGGGGGGUGUGUGUGUGUUUUACCCCGUUGGUCUCCUCUUCCAGGCGUGGGGGUGUGUGUGUGUUUUACCCCGUUGGUCUCCUCUUCCAGGCGUGGGGGCGUGGGGGGGUGUGUGUGUUUUACCCCGUUGGUCUCCUCUUCCAGGCGUGGGGGGGGUGUGUGUGUGUUUUACCCCGUUGGUCUCCUCUUCCAGGCGUGGGGGUGUGUGUGUGUGUUUUACCCCGUUGGUCUCCUCUUCCAGGCGUGGGGGGGGUGUGUGUGUGUUUUACCCCGUUGGUCUCCUCUUCCAGGCGUGGGGGUGGGUGUGUGUGUGUUUUACCCCGUUGGUCUCCUCUUCCAGGCGUGGGGGUGUGUGUGUUUUACCCCGUUGGUCUCCUCUUCCAGGCGUGGGGGGGUGUGUGUGUGUUUUACCCCGUUGGUCUCCUCUUCCAGGCGUGGGGGUGUGUGUGUGUGUUUUACCCCGUUGGUCUCCUCUUCCAGGCGUGGGGGUGUGUGUGUGUGUUUUACCCCGUUGGUCUCCUCUUCCAGGCGUGGGGGGGUGUGUGUGUGUGUUUUACCCCGUUGGUCUCCUCUUCCAG
ensembl:lncRNA